rnacentral:sRNA from 1 species
GGAUCGGGCCUUUCAGGCAUCCUCUCCUAAAAACUUUCAUGGCCGAUCCGCUCGCGGGUCGGCCCUUUUUUUGUGCCGC